rnacentral:rRNA from 1 species
AGAUUGAACGCUGGCGGCAUGCUUUACACAUGCAAGUCGAACGGUAACAGGCCGCAAGGUGCUGACGAGUGGCGAACGGGUGAGUAAUGCAUCGGAACGUGCCCAGUCGUGGGGGAUAACGCAGCGAAAGCUGUGCUAAUACCGCAUACGAUCUAUGGAUGAAAGCGGGGGACCGAAAGGCCUCGCGCGAUUGGAGCGGCCGAUGUCAGAUUAGCUAGUUGGUGGGGUAAAGGCCCACCAAGGCGACGAUCUGUAGCUGGUCUGAGAGGACGACCAGCCACACUGGAGCUGAGACACGGUCCAGACUCCUACGGGAGGCAGCAGUGGGGAAUUUUGGACAAUGGGCGCAAGCCUGAUCCAGCAAUGCCGCGUGCAGGAAGAAGGCCUUCGGUUGAAACUGUCUUUUGUACGGAACGAAACGGUCUGGUUAAUACCUCGGGCUAAGUGACGGUAACCGUAAGAAUAAGACACCGGACUAACUACGUAG